ACACGACUACAUUAGAUACCCCGGUAGUCCUAGCCGUAAACGAUACUCGCUAGGUGUCGGCCACGGUGCGACCGUUGUCGGUGCCGUAGGGAAGCCGUGAAGCGAGCCACCUGGGAAGUACGGCCGCAAGGCUGAAACUUAAAGGAAUUAGCGGGGGAGCACAACAACGGGUGGAACUUGCGGUUUAAUUGGAUUCAACGCCGGAAAUCUUACCGGGACCGACAGCAACAUGAAGGCCAAGCUGAAGACUUUGCCGGAUUAGCUG
rnacentral:rRNA from 1 species